CCCGGUUUUAUUUCUCUCAACUGUAAUCAACACAGGUUGCACAACGGAUUAUCUUCCACCAUCCUGUAAUUCAGCUGAAGUUGCUGGAAUAACACCAGAGGUGAAUCCAAUCCAUCACUUUGUGCUUGCAUAUAUAUUAUUUGUGAGUUCUGUGUGUAUGUAAGCCUGGGAAGGAUUGACUUGAUAUGUAGAGGAUCAAAUGUAUGUGCCUACACUUCACUGAUAAGACAGAAUUGUGAGAAUCCUCCCAUUUUCAUAUGUUUGAAUGAAGAAUUGGCUGGAGUGGCAUUUUUCAUUUGUGUCAUAUGAAUGUCUGGUGAUACUUUGCAGUUAGCAAUAAUUACAUUACAUCUGCUGUGUACAUAACAGGAAACUAAUUCUUCUUAUGAAGCUACAGUACGUGGAUAUAGAUUUUGAAUUUUGUACUGUUACAUUUACUAACCACAUAAUUGCAUAUUUAGUUCUAUUACACUAGAUCCUGAAGUGCUACGGUGAAGGGUAUAAUUACAUCAUUUACUCCUCAAGAUAUACUAUAAAUAAUAGGAUUGCAGAUUCAUAGAAAUUAGAGAUGAGAAAAGAGCCUAUUAGGUCAUCUGCAACCCAGUGAGGAAAAAUUACAGCAGUUAGCUGGAGUGCAUCUUAUCAUAGGCAUUGAUUGCCUUUCCUGUAUCCUUGUGCUAGAAUUCCCCCAGAUCCUCACGGAAGAGCUGUGUGCUGCUAUAGGAGCAGGACUGGGAAGUGACGUCUCUUCAUGGGCUGGAAGCUAUGCAAGAGAGGCGGCCAGAACACAGUUGUUUCCCCCAGUGAUGGAAAUCCUGUCCAGAAAUCCAUCCAAAGGCAUCUUCUCUUCACCACAGACCUGUAACCUGGAGGCCACAUUGGUCACUGGCAGAUGUGGGGAUGAAGGCUGUUUUAGGAGUUUCAGAAAUGUGAAUGAAAAGAGUUAUCUUCCCUAGCUGUGCGAGAGCAGUUCCUGUCAAGUUCAGACUCAGCUGAAACCAUUGAGAGACUUGUGUGAUGGCUCCAUGGUGCCACUCCUGGACCUAACUCCUGCUGGUUGUGUCCUUGAGCAGAUCACAGGUCCUAAUCUGUGCUGCUAGGUGCACCACCACACUCUCAGAGCCAGGUGAAAGUGGCUCCCAGAUGACCCUGUAACAAAUCCCUACUGACAGCUACUAGCAAGUAUCCACUAACCUUCCCCUGAGAUUUUUCUCUGUUGUGGCCCCUGACCCUGAGAAGUUCUUGCACCUUGUGCUUGCCUCCCAUGGGCACAAACUGUUUUGCUUUUUCCCAG
ensembl:lncRNA